AUGGGAGGGCUGGGAAGUUCUUGGAGGCUCGUUGUUUCUGGUGUGUCCUCUGGUGCCCAGUGCCUGAGUGCUGGACCUUGUGUCUUUGUACUGCACCUUGAGUUUCCCAAACCUACUACAGGCUGGCCCUCGGUAACCACCUCCCCAGGGCCAAUUCAAGGAGGUGCAGCAGAGGGGGAGAGAGGGAGGAGCCCGGGCGGUGCAGACCGCCUUCCCCAAAGGGGUGGGACGGAGGGGUGUCAGCCUCUGCUCCUUCUGCCCGCAGCUCCCAAGUGCCCGCGUGCUGCACUGGCUGGAGACAGCAGGGAGACGAGUGCGGGAUCGCUGUGUGCGAAGGCAACUCCACGUGCUCGGAGAACGAGGUGUGCGUGCGGCCUGGCGAGUGCCGCUGCCGCCACGGCUAUUUCGGUGCCAACUGCGACACUAGUGAGCCUGGGGCGGGGCCGACGCUGGGCGGCGAGGCGGAGAAACUGGAGAACGAGGGAGAGGGCUGGGGCCGGGGCGGGGUGAGGCCCGAUCCGGAGGAGGCGGAUCCCCUGAGGCCGGAGACAGGGCCCUGGACGGCCGCCCGAGCCGAGAACGGAACUUCCUCCCUCUCCUCCCGCAGAGUG
rnacentral:lncRNA from 1 species